rnacentral:ncRNA from 1 species
CGUCAGGCUCAUAAGAAAUUGUGACCUAUCAUAGAAAUGUGGUAUGGAAAAACUUUCGAAAUUGCCGGAAACCCGAUUGUCUUGCAAAAGACGUAGGGCAAUCAGCAGCGAAAUCUUUUGAUAAACAAAAGAGACGUUCAGAGACUAUAAUGGAAGCAUCCCUCCCCAGUUUUCCCAAACUGGGGAGGGAUGAUGGGAUAGUCCGACACUGUCAGUAAUGGCAGC